CUCCCCCACAUGCACCUCAUAGGUUGAUUUCUACUACUAAGAACAAUUAUGCACCUGAAUUUCAAUUUGAUAAUACAAAUGAAUCUGUCCAUGAAUCUACAUCUGAACCUACACCAAGGUUACAAUCUGAUGAAGAAAGGGAAGAGCUUAGUAGGAUUUGUAGUCGUGACUAUACGUGAAGGUGUUUCAUCACACGUGAUAGGAAAGAACCGCAGAUGCUACCAAAAGAGGAUGAAAUAUUGAUAUUGGUUGGGUUUGGACUUAGCCAUGUUUGGUGUGUUGGCUAGUUUUUGUGACUUGGUGGUGAUUUUGGUGAAAAACGAAAAUGUUGGUUUUGGAAAAGUGGCUGGACUCAAUCCUCACAAAUGCCUUCAAAGUGAUGUGGGAGAAGUUUGGGAUCAAAAGGAANNN
rnacentral:lncRNA from 1 species